UACGAAGGGGGCGAGCGUUGUUCGGAAUUACUGGGCGUAAAGGGCGCGCAGACGGCUCUGAAAGUCAGAUGUGAAAGCCCCGGGCUUAACCUGGGAAUUGCAUUUGAUACUCUGGAGCUUGAGUACGGGAGAGGAGAGUGGAAUUCCCAGUGUAGAGGUGAAAUUCGUAGAUAUUGGGAAGAACACCGGUGGCGAAGGCGGCUCUCUGGACCGUAACUGACGCUGAGGCGCGAAAGCGUGGGGAGCAAACAGG
rnacentral:rRNA from 1 species